rnacentral:rRNA from 1 species
AGUGAACGCUGGCGGUAGGCCUAACACAUGCAAGUCGAACGGCAGCACAGAGGAGCUUGCUCCUUGGGUGGCGAGUGGCGGACGGGGGAGGAAUACAUCGGAAUCUACUCUGUCGUGGGGGAUAACGUAGGGAAACUUACGCUAAUACCGCAUACGACCUACUGGAGAAAGCAGGGGAUCUUCGGACCUUGCGCGACUGAAUGGGCCGAUGUCGGAUUAGCUAGUUGGCGGGGUAAAGGCCCACCAAGGCGACGAUCCGUAGCUGGUCUGAGAGGAUGAUCAGCCACACUGGAACUGAGACACGGUCCAGACUCCUACGGGAGGCAGCAGUGGGGAAUAUUGGACAAUGGGCGCAAGCCUGAUCCAGCCAUACCGCGUGGGUGAAGAAGGCCUUCGGGUUGUAAAGCCCUUUUGUUGGGAAAGAAAUCCAUCUGGUUAAUACCCGGGUGGGAUGACGGUACCCAAAGAAUAAGCACCGGCUAACUUCGUGCCAGCCGCCGCCGUAA